rnacentral:rRNA from 1 species
AUGCAAGUCGAGCGGAUGAGUGGAGCUUGCUCCAUGAUUCAGCGGCGGACGGGUGAGUAAUGCCUAGGAAUCUGCCUGGUAGUGGGGGACAACGUUUCGAAAGGAACGCUAAUACCGCAUACGUCCUACGGGAGAAAGUGGGGGAUCUUCGGACCUCACGCUAUCAGAUGAGCCUAGGUCGGAUUAGCUAGUUGGUGAGGUAAAGGCUCACCAAGGCGACGAUCCGUAACUGGUCUGAGAGGAUGAUCAGUCACACUGGAACUGAGACACGGUCCAGACUCCUACGGGAGGCAGCAGUGGGGAAUAUUGGACAAUGGGCGAAAGCCUGAUCCAGCCAUGCCGCGUGUGUGAAGAAGGUCUUCGGAUUGUAAAGCACUUUAAGUUGGGAGGAAGGGCAGUAAGUUAAUACCUUGCUGUUUUGACGUUACCAACAGAAUAAGCACCGGCUAACUUCGUGCCAGCAGCCGCGGUAAUACGAAGGGUGCAAGCGUUAAUCGGAAUUACUGGGCGUAAAGCGCGCGUAGGUGGUUCGUUAAGUUGGAUGUGAAAGCCCCGGGCUCAACCUGGGAACUGCAUCCAAAACUGGCGAGCUAGAGUAUGGCAGAGGGUGGUGGAAUUUCCUGUGUAGCGGUGAAAUGCGUAGAUAUAGGAAGGAACACCAGUGGCGAAGGCGACCACCUGGGCUAAUACUGACACUGAG